rnacentral:rRNA from 1 species
UGCAAACGUUGUUCGGAAUUACUGGGCGUAAAGCGCGUGUAGGCGGCCCUGCAAGUCGGGUGUGAAAUCCCACGGCUCAACCGUGGAAGUGCAUUCGAAACUGCAGGGCUAGAGUCCUGGAGAGGAAGGUGGAAUGCUUGGUGUAGAGGUGAAAUUCGUAGAUAUCAAGCGGAACACCGGUGGCGAAGGCGGCCUUCUGGACAGUGACUGACGCUGAGACGCGAAAGCGUGGGGAGCAAACAGG